GGGUCAGUAUGUUGGUCGUGCUUCGGUACGUACUGUCAUUACUGGUUUCUACCUUCUGAAGAACCACGAUGUCAUUAAUUUGGUGUCAUGGGGAAUCAGGACUGUUACUUUGAAAAAAUUAGAGUGUUUAAAGCAGGCGUUCGCUUGAAUACAUUAGCAUGGAAUAAUGGAAUAGGACCC
rnacentral:rRNA from 1 species